rnacentral:rRNA from 1 species
UGGGAGGCUUUGAAGUGUGGACGCCAGUCUGCAUGGAGCCGGCCUUGAAAUACCACCCUUUAAUGUUUGAUGUUCUAACGUGGACCCGUGAUCCGGGUUGCGGACAGUGUCUGGUGGGUAGUUUGACUGGGGCGGUCUCCUCCUAAAGAGUAACGGAGGAGCACGAAGGUUGGCUAAUCCUGGUCGGACAUCAGGAGGUUAGUGCAAUGGCAUAAGCCAGCUUGACUGCGAGCGUGACGGCGCGAGCAGGUGCGAAAGCAGGUCAUAGUGAUCCGGUGGUUCUGAAUGGAAGGGCCAUCGCUCAACGGAUAAAAGGUACUCCGGGGAUAACAGGCUGAUACCGCCCAAGAGUUCAUAUCGACGGCGGUGUUUGGCACCUCGAUGUCGGCUCAUCACAUCCUGGGGCUGAAGUAGGUCCCAAGGGUAUGGCUGUUCGCCAUUUAAAGUGGUACGCGAGCUGGGUUUAGAACGUCGUGAGACAGUUCGGUCCCUAUCUGCCGUGGGCGCUGGAGAACUGAGGGGGGCUGCUCCUAGUACGAGAGGACCGGAGUGGACGCAUCACUGGUGUUCGGGUUGUCAUGCCAAUGGCACUGCCCGGUAGCUAAAUGCGGAAGAGAUAAGUGCUGAAAGCAUCUAAGCACGAAACUUGCCCCGAGAUGAGUUCUCCCUGACCCUUUAAGGGUCCUGAAGGAACGUUGAAGACGACGACGUUGAUAGGCCGGGUGUGUAAGCGCAGCGAUGCGUUGAGCUAACCGGUACUAAUGAACCGUGAGGCUUAACCUU